CCUGUAAUACAAAAGAAAAUAUUAAGUACGGUAAGUUAAAAUUUAAGUUACGACUUAAGUACUUUAAGUAAUUUUAGAUUACGUAUUAAGUUGUAGUAUGUAAGUAUUAUUAACGUAACCGUAAAAAUGUAAAUUGUAGUAAAUACCAGAAGCUAUAAGACAAGCGGUAAUAGACCUAUUAUUAUUACUAUAUUUUUAGAUCGAAGAUUACUAUAUUUAAAAUAUACAUAUAUAUUACUAUAUAUACAUAGAUAAAUGGAGUCUUUAAAUAGUAAUUUUACUAAUGUAUUAUAUAUUUAGUAUUGUAUUGAUUUCGCUGUUUUUGUCAAGAAACAGACUUAGUUUCGUGAUAAAUGACGUUCUUAUUUUCUGCGUAAUCUAUUUAGCUCUCUCCUGACCUAUUUAUUGACCCAUCUUUUUAUAUUUGUCUCUAUCGAUUCAUAUCCACGCUACUUCGUUCAUUUCAAGCAAUUGUGAUAUUUAAUGUUUUUUAAAUUAUAUAUUUUUGGUUGUCUUGUUCUACUGCAUCUAUUGCAGUGAUAAAGGAUACUCGCGGUUCUGAUUAGCCUUAAGUUUUAAGCGACAUAUUGGCAAUGUAAAAACGGACAAUUUGCAGUAAUAAAUAUAAAUCUCUGCAACACGAGGUCCUGACUUAAUGAAUGACCACAAGAAUUUUGCAACGCCAUAACAACGAUAGUUAUCGUCCGACAAUUUUUCAGCCAACAAGUUACAAGGUUGCAAUAAAUUCAUUACCACAUGAACGAAGUAAGUUAAGACCAAACACCAGAUAAGCUAUCGUCGUUCGACAAACGACGAUUGCACCGUUUAUUUUUAACUUGAUACAGAUGUCCUUGACUUCCUUAUCCUUAUAAGAAUUUCAAAAAAAAGAUGAAAAAAAGAAAAUAAAAAAAUAUAAAAAGGAAAACAAGAUUAAAGAGCUAUUGUCCAGAAUCGUACAACACGUGAUUAGAAUUCGCAAGAAUAUUUAUCGCGGGAUCGCCAAGGUCUUCGCUCUGUUCGCAUAUCAAUGACCCUAACUUCCUUCGGUGCUCGUGCUCGUCGUAACAACCGAUUUAAUUGAAUGGGUCAACCAUUUUCACAGCAUCCACUUACGUUUUCAUGCGAAUAGCUUCAAAUUCCUUGCAAAUGGAAUAUAUACUUGUCUCGCAAAAAGGAAACUAAUCUUAAGAUAAGAAAAGAAAUACUUAUCACAUCCUAUUAAAAGCGCGAGACUUAAAACGCUUCGUGGAUUAAAUAGCUGCAAUAAUAUGAAACUCGAUUCCAAAUAAUAUCGGUUAAUUAAAUUCAUAAAAGUUUCUAUUCGAUUCUAUGACGUGAUCCAAUAGAAAAUCCGCAUUUUAUAAUUACUUUCCGUAAAGAUGUUAGGCUCAGGCGCUUUGUUACGGUUUCUACGUAAUUAACGUUCUCACUCGAUGUAUCUUGCCGUGUUAUUUAACUUGAAACUUUCAUUCAAUCGCUAAAGAACUUUGUAUUCUUUCAUACGAUUGUAUUAAAUGCAAGUUAUUGUUUGCCCAUGUUAUUUAACUUAAAACUUUCAUUCAAUUUGGAGAACUUUGUACUUGUUCACAAGAUAGUACUAAAUAGAGCUUACAGAUAGUCUGUUUACAACGUGUUGAUUUAUUGCAAAAAUUGUUCAACGCGUUCCUUAUCAAUCCUUAUUUCUCAUAUCUAUUUCUUAUCGAAUAAACGGCAUUUUUAGAUUAUUCCACACACUUUCCCAAUAAAUAAAUAGUUCAAUAUAAAAUUGCGCUUCCAGUUAGCGUUAGGAAGGUGAAUUAAUGUUGUUUCGUCUCAAGGUGGAAAUAAAAUGAGUGAAACGAGGUCACGAAGACCCUAUCACAAUACGAUACUAAUUAAAGCGUUCUUUAAUUAAGACAUGGAGUUGUAACGUAUUCAAAAGUUGGCUUCAUCGAUGUGUUACGUCAAAUGAAACGAACCGAUCGCGCCCUUACAAAUGUAAAUUGCUUAACGCUCGAUUACACGCGUAUUCGUCCACGGUCUACGCAAUUCGAGGCCCUUGUCCCCGUUUGUGGCUGCACCUGUGACGAUUGUGCGCCAAGCGGAUAAAUCCCAGUUUAUCGUGCGUGAACCGGGCAUUACGCGCGCUUUCAUGCAAGUACUGUUCUUCGAUCAUCCAACAUUUUGUAUCCGGACCGAUUCAACAAACCUGCAAUUUCCCUUGACCGAUGACGCGUCCCGAUCGGCCAAAGAUAUCGAUAUCGAUGAAUGUGCAAUUCUACUAAUUUUGGUUAUCUUAUCUUACAAAAUAGAUUAAUAUCUAUACUCUGAUUUGUGUAAUGUACUUUCUUGAUUAAUGUUUGUAGAAAAUUUCGAGACAUUUCUUUGUGUCCAAUCGUUAUAAAUAUUAUAAAUUUAUAUUGCGCGUUUGUUUGUUUUAGUAUGAUUUAGGAUGCUGUUGUUUUAAUAUGCAUACAUUUGUAAUGAAUUUGUUUCGUUUCUGCUGAUAAUUCAAUUUAUUGGUUCAUACAACAUAGAAUUCAUGUAAUGUGAGAAACGAUGAUAACGAUUCAAAUGAUAACGAUGCAGGUACUCAAAUAAAAGAAAUUCACAUUUGAUUAAACGAAUGGAAUUAGCACGACUUUAGUUAAAGUUUCGUUUGAAUUAAAAUCUAAUUUCCUUUUUUUUUUCAAUAAAUAAGAUUCUAUUCUACUUCCUGUUUAUUCCAACUUGUUACAUUAUUCAAUCAAAUCGUAUUUAAUAUGUUUUGCAACACAUUGAAUUUUCAGAACGUCCCAAUAACAGUUCGAGAAUUAUCAAACUCUAUUACCAAGAAUUUCAUUGACCGUUCUUUCUACUUAAAAUGAUUCACACAAAGAAACCGGAGGCUACGCCUAUGCGUGCUCAUAACGCGUACAAUGUCAUAAUUCGUAUCCAGACGAUGUAGCGGGUUAAAUUGUCGACCAGAUAAUUCGUCACAGUGUAUAAUAUUUAAAGUAACGCGAGUGCCACUUCCGGCCACAUGUAUUCUCAGCAUCGAUCAUCGAUCACGUCUAUUAGGUCGUGUACGGACGAUCUGUGUCGAAGGAAACCGACACGCCCACGCACACUGGCGCAACCGAACAGGUCUUGCCGAUCAUAUCCGCGGUAAUGACGGUAAGUGUGCCAAACUUCCGGCAACGAUCACCCUCCGUUGCCUCCACUACGUUCUGUUAAUUCGACGCGAUUGUACUACUGUGUUUAUAUGUUGCACGCAUCAGUCCUGUAGUUUAAUUGUAUCAACAAUGUAUUACAGAAAAUUUCAGGAAAAUUAAAAAAACUUAUUUUGUUGCUUAUAAAAGGGACUAGAAAAAUGAUAUAGCAAUGAUAUGGUACAAUAAAUAAUUUUAAUAAGAAAUAUUUGUUUAUAUCAUAGAAUAUGCAUUAUAGCGUAUGUGUAAAAUUACUUAAUCCUAUAAUAUUUUGAUAUUUUUUUAUUAAAUUAUUAAGAAGUGCUUCUGAAAUAAAAACAUAGUUUUCAUUAUGUAUAAUAUUUAAUUUAUGUAUUUAAAUAGACAUAUUAGGUACGUGAUGAGAAUCCUGGUAUUAAAUACAUACACUUUUCUAGUUUAAAAACCUGAUUUGAAGUGUAGAAUCAUACCAGCUCUAUGAUAUACCAACACUACGACAUACCAGCCUAUAUACGAUAGGAACGCUACAAGAGAAUUUCAGCCAAAGCCAACGAAACGUAGAACGACUACUAUCCAUCCUGAAAACGAUCUUCCGUGAAGCAAGUCAAAAUGUAUCGGUCGAUCAAUUACCAAUAUGCUAAACCAAUAAAAACAGAACGUAACACGAACGAAGCACUAUGACGAUGUUUAUUUGUUUAUUAAUAAGUCUGCCCCCAGGAUGAGGACAAUCGAGGCAUGAUUAUAUAAACUCAAUAAAAGAGACGCCACGUGCUGGCGUACGGCUCGUACGUAAUAUCACUUUCACGGUACGAGCUAAAUCCGUUGCUGCCCGGUAAAUCAAUGAACCGAACUUACGAGUAUAUACUUUGGAUAAAUGUCCGUAACAUGUGGGACACACGUUGUUAGUUAUUUAGUUCUAUUAGACGAGAAAAAGAAGAAGAAAAAAGAAGUGCAUACACGGCAGUGCACUUCAUUGCUCAAUGACAAAAGCUUGUUAGUGAAGCUUCACCGAGCUCCUAUUCGUUGGCCUUUUAGGACGGCGAUACGUCAGCGGCAGAAAGCGAGCAACGUCACCGGAGGUACAUUGACAUUUUUCGGAGACUAUACAAGGUUAAUCUCUAAUCGACAAAAGAAUCGCCCUAAUUAACCUUUACAUGAAUCCUUAUAACUGGAUUAUGGAUAUUUGUAAAUUUAUGACAAAUUUAAAGAUGCCAAAAUAUAUACGUACAUACACAAUAUACAAAAAUAUCGGAAAUAUUCCAAGUUCACAAAAAUAUGGAUUUGUAUAAAUAUCUGUAGGUUGAUUAUAAACGUUCCUCCUUUACCAAAAUAGAUGUUAGGAAUUGUUUAAUAGGAUGGAUUAAAAGAUGCAGAGGUUCUACCAACAGGUACUGAAUGGUGCUAGAAAUAAUUAAUAUGAUAUGUAUAAUGAACGUAAAUAUACAAAAGAUAAUUUAUUAGUAAUUGAACAGCUUUUCGAAAAGACAUGUUAUGUACAUAUUAUACAUAUAUGUAGAUAUCAAGUAUAUUUUCUACUCAAAUAGUUGAAUUAUUAAUAAGUAUUUGAUUUAUUCCAAGUCUCUCAUUUUUCUAUGAAGAAUUUUUCAGGAAUUAAGUUACAUAUUUUUCAAGACAUUCUCCAUACUCUAGGAUGACAGAUAGUUUUACUAAAUCAUAUAUAAUACUAUGACUUGAUUACUUCAUUCAUAAUCGAUAAGUUUGCAGAGGUUAGUCAUGGUGGAACUAUAUACAGGAUAUUAGUCUGUGACAGGCUUCCUCAACAGAGGGUCGAAAGGUCUCCGCAGGAAAAUAAAAUCAUCGACCCCCAACGCUGAUGAUUUUAAAUAUCGCUACUGUAAAUAACACCGACCAGGUAGAUAUGGUCAGUAAUGUUCUCUUGGUAAAAAAAAAACAAUGUUUUUCUCUCACCGGUGCUCAACUUUGGAACUUCAACGAGUUACACAUUCAAUAUAUCGUAUUCUUGUGUUGGAAUCUGUUGGACCAUUGAACUGUCUAUUAAAAGUGUCAUGGUAAUCGAAUACAUGGAAAACAAGCAGAUUUAUAAUUUUACAUUUAAAAUAAAAAUGUGUAUUUAACA